rnacentral:lncRNA from 1 species
UCUGAGGUCUAGGAUGGUUUGAAGAGGCUCAAGCAAGUUUGAACAGUUCCAGACAGCUUCAAGCAGGUCCAGGCCGGUUGGAACAGAUGGAUGUCAUUUGAAACUGGCCCAGGCUGGUUAGUUUUGGCCUACCGGAAGGGCGUGGACUUAAUGUGGAACAUUUUCGAUGAUUUUGAUGAUCUGAGGAUUUCUUUCCCAAAUUUAGUCAUAAUUUGGUCACCACUGUUGGAAAGGCGCACUUGGAGGGACUGCCGAUGUCCUAUUGCUAUAAACAAAUCCAGAAAGAUUCUGGAACGCUCAGUGGCUCGAAGAGUGGCAGCGCUGGGGGGGCGGGACAUUGACCAGCCCAACAUCCAGUUCAGCAAGGUGACCCUCUACCACGAGGAUGGCGUGCCUCUUUCCAAUGCGGGAAACAAUGUUUGGUUGGCUGACAUAUCUGCGGGGAUUAGGGAUUGAAUCAUAGAAUCAUAGAAUCAUAGAGUUGGAAGAGACCACAAGGGCCAUCGAGUCCAACCCCUGCCAAGCAGGAAACAGCAUCAGAGCACUCCUGACAUAUGGUUGUCAAGCCUCUGCUUAAAGACCUCCAAAGAAGGAGACUCCACCACACUCCUUGGCAGCAAAUUCCACUGUCGAACAGCUCUUACUGUCAGGAAGUUCUUCCUAAUGUUUAGGUGGAAUCUUCUUUCUUGUAGUUUGGAUCCAUUGAUUGGUUGCAGGUCUGUGGGUAUUGGCGGCGAGCUUUGCUCAAGUGGCGGUUAGGCAUUGGUAUGGGUAUUGUUAUGUAGAUGUUUGGGAGGAGGAGUGCCAUCACCUCCCCCGGAUAUUGAAGGGUAGUCCGAUAAAGGAUUCUGGGGAGCAUGGCCCCGUCUGAAGCCUAUGGAGGCCAGGGCUCAAGGCACCACCCCCCCCCCCCCGAGCAGUGACCCUGGGGGAGUGCCUAGUUGAUGUGCAUCAGCAGGGCUCCCCUGCUGGUGUUAACCCUUCCGGAUUUUCAAGCAAGCAGGCUGAAGCCGGAUAGUCAGAUAGGUGGGAGGUGGGAACUCGCCACGCAACCUGGCUUGGCCAAUUCAGCUCACAAUGCAUUCUCAAAGUCUCUGGGGUCAGUUUGACACCACAGUCCCCUGAGAAAGCCCUUUUGAAAUUUGCUAUCUUACAGCCUGGUGGAGUGCUUGAAUUACAAGCUGUUGAACACUCCCCCCGCAUUGCUAUGUCCCUUUUGAAGUGCUUCUCACCAGAUUCUCAGAGAUUCGCUUCCCUUUGUUCCCGAUCAAAAUGCAGUCACCUGAUUUGGAAAUGCGGUACUGAAAGGUCCACAUUCAGUGCCCUGGCGCCCUGUUACCAUCAAUUCUGUUGGAACCAGUUCAGAUCAGUUGGAACCAGUCCAAGCCAGUUGGAACCAGCUGAAACCAAUUGGGAAAAGUCCAUGCGGGUUCCAGCUUGCCCAGACCAGUUUGAACUGGCCGAGACUGGUUGGAACUGGCUCAGAUUGCUUGGAACAGGUCUAGCCUUGUUUGAACGGGUCCAGGUCGGUUGAAACAGGUCCAAGCCGGUUGGAACCGGUCUAGGCCAGUAUGAACCGGUCUAGGCAGGUUUGAGCCAGUACAAGCCAGUUUGAACCGGUCUUGGCUGGUUUGAAUAGGUCUAGGCCGGUUUGAAACGGCCCAAGCCAGUUUGAGCAGUUCCAAGUGGGUUGGAAUUGGCCUGUUCAAACUGGCCUAGACCGGUAUAAAACAGCCAAGACCAGUUCAAACCGGCUUGGACUGGCACAAACUGGCUUAGACCAGGUUCAUAGCGGGCCAAGACCGGUUUUAACCGGCUUGGACCUGUUUCAACCGACUUGGACCGGUUCAAACCAGCCCAGACCUGUUUCAACCAGUCUGAGGUCUAGGCUGGUUUGAACAGGCCCAAGCAAGUUUGAACAGUUCCAGACAGCUUCAAGCAGGUCCAGGCCGGUUGGAACAGAUGGAUAUCAUUUGAAACUGGCCCAGGCUGGUUAGAUUUGGCCUACCGGAAGGGCGUGGACUUAAUGUGGAACAUUUUCGAUGAUUUUGAUGAUCUGAGGAUUUCUUUCCCAAAUUUAGUCAUAAUUUGGUCACCACUGUUGGAAAGGCGCACUUGGAGGGACUGCCGAUGUCCUAUUGCUAUAAACAAAUCCAGAAAGAUUCUGGAAUGCUCAGUGGCUCGAAGAGUGGCAGCGCUGGGGGGGCGGGACAUUGACCAGCCCAACAUCCAGUUCAGCAAGGUGACCCUCUGCCACGAGGAUGGCGUGCCUCUUUCCAAUGCGGGAAACGAUGUUUGGUUGGCUGACAUAUCUGCAGGGAUUAGGGAUUAAAUUAUAGAAUCAUAGAAUCAUAGAGUUGGAAGAGACCACAAGGGCCAUCGAGUCCAACCCCCUGCCAAGCAGGAAACACCAUCAGAGCACUCCUGACAUAUGGUUGUCAAGCCUCUGCUUAAAGACCUCCAAAGAAGGAGACUCCACCACACUCCUUGGCAGCAAAUUCCACUGUCGGACAGCUCUUACUGUCAGGAAGUUCUUCCUAAUGUUUAGGUGGAAUCUUCUUUCUUGUAGUUUGGAUCCAUUGAUUGGUUGCAGGUCUGAGGGUAUUGGCGGCGAGCUUUGCUCAAGUGGCGGUUAGGCAUUGGUAUGGGUAUUGUUAUGUAGAUGUAUGGGGGGGAGGAGCGCCAUCACCUCCCCCGGAUAUUGAAGGGUAGUCCGAUAAAGGAUUCUGGGGGGCAUGGCCCCGUCUGAAGCCUAUGGAGGCAAGGGCCCAAGGCGCGCCCCUGAGCAGUGACCCUGAGGGAGUGCCUAGUUGAUGUGCAUCA